rnacentral:rRNA from 1 species
UACGAAGGGGGCUAGCGUUGUUCGGAUUUACUGGGCGUAAAGCGCACGUAGGCGGAUCGAUCAGUCAGGGGUGAAAUCCCAGAGCUUAACUCUGGAACUGCCUUUGAUACUGUCGAUCUGGAGUAUGGAAGAGGUGAGUGGAAUUCCGAGUGUAGAGGUGAAAUUCGUAGAUAUUCGGAGGAACACCAGUGGCGAAGGCGGCUCACUGGUCCAUUACUGACGCUGAGGUGCGAAAGCGUGGGGAGCAAACAGG